GAUGAACGCUAGCUACAGGCUUAACACAUGCAAGUCGAGGGGCAGCGCAGUGUAGCAAUACAUGGGCGGCGACCGGCGCACGGGUGCGUAACGCGUAUCCAACCUUCCCGUUACUCAGGGAUAGCCUUCCGAAAGGGAGAUUAAUACCUGAUGGUGUUCAAAUUCCGCAUGUUAUUUGAACUAAAGAUUUAUCGGUAACGGAUGGGGAUGCGUGACAUUAGAUAGUAGGCGGGGUAACGGCCCACCUAGUCUACGAUGUCUAGGGGUUCUGAGAGGAAGGUCCCCCCACACUGGAACUGAGACACGGUCCAGACUCCUACGGGAGGCAGCAGUGAGGAAUAUUGGUCAAUGGUCGGAAGACUGAACCAGCCAAGUAGCGUGAAGGAUGAAGGUUCUAUGGAUUGGUAAACUUCUUUUANACGGGAAUAAAACACCUUACGUGUAGGGUCUUGUAUGUACCGUAUGAAUAAGCAUCGGCUAACUCCGUGCCAG
rnacentral:rRNA from 1 species